CUUGAAGAAAUCAUAAAGUUUAGAUGAAAUGGAACCAUUUUUAUGGUUUUACCUGAGGCUGAGGUUCAGCUUCUGACCUUUAAAGGAGAGAAUGUGAGAUUUAUUAACUCCGAUGUAUAAAAUUUUUGAAUGAGAUAAAAAAAACGUUUAGAUAAACCUAAAGUCUGCUGUGCUGCUCAUCCUAUUCUAUAUAAGAAGCUGUUAUGGGGUGCACGUUUAUAAUUAAACACCUUCCUGCUUCAUGUCAGACUUUAGGGUUCAUUUCAAGAUCCUGGUUCUGGUCUAUAGGGCCUUACAUGGACAAGCACCAUCUUACAUUGGUGAUCUUCUUAGUCCCUACACCCCCAGCAGGUCCCUGAGGUCCAGCGAUCAAAGCCUACUGCUUGUGCAGCACCAGGCUAAACACCAAAGGUGACAGAUCAUCUGCUGCUGUGGCCCCAGACUCUGGAACUCUCUCCCCCUGAGCCUGAGAUCAGUGGACUCAGUGGUCUCCUUUAAAAAGCAGCUGAAGACUCACUUGUUCAAGCUGGCUUUUGUAUGACCUUCUUCACCCCUCUCUCUUUAUUCUGCUCUCCCCACCUAUUCCACCUUCCUCAGGAUCCACUGAUUUCCCUCUUUCCUGUUCACUCUCCCUCUCUUUCUUAACAUUUUUUCUUUUAAAUCACAAUUGCUUAUUUUUGCUCAUUUUAAAUAUAUUUUAAACAUUUUCUAAAUGCUUUUUUAUAUUUUUACAAUGUUUUUAUUUUUUGUUUUGUUUUUGUGAAGCGCCUCGUGAUUUUUAUCUUGAGAGGCGCUAUAGAAAUUAUAUUUUUUUCUUCUUCUUCUUUAGUCACAUGGCGUCUGUCUGCUUCUGUCUCUCCAUUUUUUCCUCAGGUGUCAAAAGUGUUUGCUUGUAAUGAUGCAGCGAGCUUCAGCAGUUUCUGUCAGGCAGGUGGACAACUUCAGGUUGUGGAGGUGACAUGUAGAGGAAACAAGGCCGUGAACAGAAGCCGGUCCAGCUGCAGCGUGCUACUGAUUCUGAGCCGUGCUGUGUCCGUGUGCGAUCUGCGAAGAGCUGCAGAAUCUGCAC